AUGGUGAUCUACUACUUCCAGUGUGCAAAAUCAGACAAGAGAGUUCAGAUAGUUUUUAUUUUUCCUUUUCUUUUUUGUUUUGAAGGAGUUCACAAAGUUCAUGGAAGGGAAACACCGCAUUUAUCCUUUUCAGAUUUGUAUCCUACACAUGGAGAACGGUUCAUUAACUACUCUGCCCCAAAUCCAGAGAAAAUUUACUUAAAUCAGAGAGGUCUCCAAAGACAGCAGUCGUCGAUACAAGUAAAAGUGGACAAAACCUCCUUCCAAACAAAUCCUGGAAGAACGAUAUCAAGUAAACCAACAAAGCCAAGGUUCAUUCUUCAGCAGGAGACCAGUGGAAGUAUCAUCGCUUGCAAAAUUCCAGCAUUGCUCUUUGAACUCCUAUGUUUGAGAUGUUGA
rnacentral:rRNA from 1 species